AUUGAACGCUGGCGGCAGGCCUAACACAUGCAAGUCGAGCGAACCUAGCUUGCUAGGUGAGCGGCGAACGGGUGAGUAACGCGUAGGAAUCUGCCUGGUAGUGGGGGACAACGUUCCGAAAGGAACGCUAAUACCGCAUACGCCCUACGGGGGAAAGCAGGGGAUCUUCGGACCUUGCGCUAUCAGAUGAGCCUGCGUCGGAUUAGCUAGUUGGUGGGGUAAAGGCCUACCAAGGCGACGAUCCGUAACUGGUCUGAGAGGAUGAUCAGUCACACCGGAACUGAGACACGGUCCGGACUCCUACGGGAGGCAGCAGUGGGGAAUAUUGGACAAUGGGGGCAACCCUGAUCCAGCCAUGCCGCGUGUGUGAAGAAGGCCUUCGGGUUGUAAAGCACUUUAGGUCGGGAGGAAGGUUCGCUGGCUAAUAUCCAGCGGAAUUGACGUUACCGACAGAAUAAGCACCGGCUAACUCCGUGCCAGCAGCCGCGGUAAUACGGAGGGUGCGAGCGUUAAUCGGAAUUACUGGGCGUAAAGCGCGCGUAGGCGGCUUGAUAAAUCGGGUGUGAAAUCCCUGGGCUUAACCUGGGAACUGCAUCCGACACUGUCAGGCUAGAGUGUGGGAGAGGGUGACGGAAUUCCCGGUGUAGCGGUGAAAUGCGUAGAUAUCGGGAGGAACAUCAGUGGCGAAGGCGGUUGCCUGGCCCAACACUGACGCUGAGGUGCGAAAGCGUGGGUAGCAAACAGGAUUAGAUACCCUGGUAGUCCACGCCGUAAACGAUGUCGACUAGCCGUUGGGAACCUUAGAGUUUCUUGUGGCGCAGCUAACGCGAUAAGUCGACCGCCUGGGGAGUACGGCCGCAAGGUUAAAACUCAAAUGAAUUGACGGGGGCCCGCACAAGCGGUGGAGCAUGUGGUUUAAUUCGAUGCAACGCGAAGAACCUUACCACCCCUUGACAUCCUGCGAACUUUCUAGAGAUAGAUUGGUGCCUUCGGGAGCGCAGAGACAGGUGCUGCAUGGCUGUCGUCAGCUCGUGUUGUGAAAUGUUGGGUUAAGUCCCGUAACGAGCGCAACCCUUGUCCUUAGUUGCCAGCGAGUAAUGUCGGGAACUCUAAGGAGACUGCCGGUGACAAACCGGAGGAAGGUGGGGACGACGUCAAGUCAUCAUGGCCCUUACGGGGUGGGCUACACACGUGCUACAAUGGCCGGUACAGACGGUUGCAAACCCGCGAGGGGGAGCCAAUCCGAGAAAACCGGUCGUAGUCCGGAUUGCAGUCUGCAACUCGACUGCAUGAAGUCGGAAUCGCUAGUAAUCGCGGAUCAGAAUGCCGCGGUGAAUACGUUCCCGGGCCUUGUACACACCGC
rnacentral:rRNA from 1 species